AAAGUCGUUGCAAAAACCCAUAUCCUAACAAUUUUUUGCAACGAUUCCCUAGCUCUUAAAAUUAACCCACGCCUCUUUGUCAAAAUUUCCCUCUCAAACCUGAAAUCCCAUCUCCUCUCAAACAAAGUGAAAACCCUAUGCUCAUCUCUUUUUCUCUGUCUAGACUUCUCCUCUACUGGGCGACACCAUUUGCCCCGCCAAAGCAGGAAAGCGGCUAGUCGACCACCGUGAAAGUCAAGACCACCGGCGUGCUAGUGUUCCGAUGAUUUGGUGCAUCAACUAUUGUAAGUCGGUGUGGUCCGCUAUUUCUUCGGGAUUUAAUUUGAUCGUGCAAUGACUUCAAGUUGAAAAGGAUGUGCAAAGAGGGAGCAUAUUGGGGUGAAUGCAAACUUUAUUUUAGUGGCAAUGCCAUCACAAAUGGCAAACAUAUCUUCGUUGGAAAUUUUUUGUACUCAAUAACAAAGUUGGUGAUUGCUACAAGCAUUUUGGAUGCGCGAUGUUUUGGGUUAUGAAGUAGCUAUAUGUGUACUUGUAAAUUUUUGGACUUUUUCAAAGUGCCUAUCACUUGUAAAUUUUUGCAUGAAAACUUGUAUAUGGUAGGAGAAUUAUUUUGGAAAAUUUGUUAUCCGUUACAUGUAUAUGAAUUACGUAUAUUUUUGACACAAUAAUAUUUGGGACGUGUGAUAUUUUGGGAUACGA